AGCAGCCGCGGUAAUUCCAGCUCCAAUAGCGUAUAUUAAAGUUGUUGCAGUUAAAAAGCUCGUAGUUGAAUUUCGGGGUUCUACCGUUGGUCGGGCUAACCAGUCUGUACUAGCGUGUAAAAUUCCUACCUUCUGGAGAACCAUCAUGUUAUUAAUUUAGCGUGGUGGGAAACCAGGACCUUUACCUUGAAAAAAUUAGAGCGUUCAAAGCAGGCUUACGUCUGAAUACAUUAGCAUGGAAUAAUAGAAUAGGACGGUGGUCCUGUUUUGUUGGUUUCUGAAUCACCGUAAUGAUUAAUAGGGAUAGUUGGGGGCAUUAGUAUUCAAUUGUCAGAGGUGAAAUUCUUGGAUUUAUUGAAGACUAACUUCUGCGAAAGCAUUUGCCAAGGAUGUUUUCAUUAAUCAAGAACGAAAGUUAGGGGAUCGAAGACGAUCAGAUACCGUCGUAGUCUUAACCAUAAACUAUGCCGACUAGGGAUCGGACGAUGUUAAAUUAUUGACUCG
rnacentral:rRNA from 1 species